AUGUCUUCAUCGAAAAAACCCACAGUAACUCUUGCUUCACAGAUGGCUGGCGAAAUUGUGACCAUCGGCAAGCUCAAAGCACUCAUGGGUGACGAGUACGGCAAGUUCACAGGGGUCAGGAAGCAGGCUUCGUUCCUUGAGAAGGAACUCAGCGCCAUGAACGCUGCCCUCCAGAAGCUCGAGCUCAUGGAUGAUGAGCUCGAUCCAACUGUCAAGGACUGGGUGGAUCAUGUUAGGGAUAUGUCCUAUGACAUGGAGAAUUGUAUUGACGACUUCGUGCACCAAUUUCGAGCUGAUGAUGCCAAGGCAGGCUUCAUAGAGAAGAUUACUCAAUUCAUCAAGAAGUUUCGACAACGCCUUCGGAUAGCCGACCGGAUGGAAGAGCUCAAGACUCUUGCCUUGGAGGCGAAUGAUCGACGUGAGAGAUAUAAGAUUGAUGAUUGGAAGCCUGCCUCUGGCCAUGUGCCUGUUGACCCUCGGCUGCGAGCGGUAUAUCAGGAGGCAGAUACUCUCGUGGGCAUUGAUGGCCCAAGGGAGGAGGUUGUCACUCGGUUGAUGGAUACUCGGAAGAAACUCAAGGUGGUAUCCAUUGUAGGAUUAGGUGGUCUUGGUAAAACUACACUUGCCAAACAGGUCUAUGACAAGAUUGACUCGCAAUUUGAUUGCAAGGCAUUCUUUUCAGUUUCACAGAGGCCUGAUAUGAGUGAGCUACUCAACAAUUUACAAUAUAAACUUGGGAUGAACGACCCCGUUUCAUCUCACGCUCGCAAGGUUGACGACAUCAUUAAAGAGCUAAGGGAACAUCUGAAAGAGAAAAGGUACCUUAUUGUUGUUGACGAUGUGUGGGAUGAAUCAGCUUGGAAUAUUAUUAAGUGUGCUUUUCCAGAAGAGGGUAAUGGAAGUAGAGUAAUAGUUACAACACGAGUAGAAGGUGUAGCUAUCGUAGCCUGUCAGAAUGACCGUGAGGGCAUGUACAGAUUGAAACCUCUCAGUGAAGAAAACUCAAGAAUGUUAUUCUUGAAUAGAGUAUUUGGGUCUGCACAUGGUUGUCCACCCCAACUUGAAGACAUCAUGGCUGAGAUUUUGAAGAAGUGUCAUGGAUUGCCACUUGCAGUUAUCACAAUAGCUAGCCUAUUAGCAAGUGAAGAAAGAUCAAGGAAGGGGUGGGAGAGCAUAAGGGAUUCUUUGGGUGCCCAGUCUGCUACAAAUCCUACCUUGGAAGAGAUGAAGAGUAUAUUAAACCUUAGCUACAUGCAUCUUCCUGCUUAUCUGCGGGCAUGUUUUUUGUACCUUGGUAUGUAUGCUGAGGAUUGCGAAAUCCCAAGGGAUGAUCUGGUUCGACAAUGGAUAGCUGAAGGCUUUAUCAGUAGUUUGCAUGUGCAAGAUCUGGAGGAUGUUGGUAGGAGUUAUUUCAAUGAGCUUAUCAACAGAAGCAUGAUUCAGCCUUAUGAAAAUGAGGAGGAGGAGGUGUGUUGCAGAGUACACGACAUGAUGCUUGACUUGAUCCUAAGCAAGUGCGCUGAAGAUAACUUUGUAAGUGUGGCAUACAAUUAUGAAGGCAUGGCAGCAAAUACAAGAUUCGUCGAUUAUCUCUGA
rnacentral:rRNA from 1 species